rnacentral:rRNA from 1 species
UACGAAGGGGGCUAGCGUUGUCGGAAUUACUGGGCGUAAAGCGUGCGCAGGCGGCUUUCCAAGUCAGUGGUGAAAGCCCGGAGCUCAACUCCGGAAAUGCCAUUGAAACUGUGAAGCUUGAGAACGGAGAGAGGUGAGUGGAAUUCCCAGUGUAGAGGUGAAAUUCGUAGAUAUCGGGAGGAACACCGGGUGGCGAAGGCGGCGAAUCUGGGUCGAUACUGACGCUGAGGUGCGAAAAGCGUGGGGGAGCAAACAAGGG